GUGCUCGCUUCGGCAGCAUAUAUACUAAAGUUGGAACAAUGCAGAGAAGAUUAGCAUGGCCCCUGUGCAAGGAUGACUUGCACAUUCAUUACACAUUCCAUAUUUUU